AAUUUAAAAUCUGGUGGCCCUCGGCCAUCCGAGUUGUAAUCUAGAGAAGCGUUUUMCGCGCUGGACCGUGCACAAGUCUCCUGGAAUGGAGCGUCACAGAGGGUGAGAAUCCCGUCUUUGGCACGGAMACACCAGGGCUUCUGCGAUGCGCUCUCGAAGAGUCGAGUUGUUUGGGAAUGCAGCUCAAAAUGGGUGGUGAACUCCAUCUAAAGCUAAAUAUUGGCGAGAGACCGAUAGCGAACAAGUACCGUGAGGGAAAGAUGAAAAGCACUUUGGAAAGAGAGUGAAACAGUACGUGAAAUUGUUGAAAGGGAAACGCUUGAAGUCAGUCGCGUCGACCGAGACUCAGCCUUGCCUCGGCUUGGUGUAUUUCUCGGCUGACGGGUCAGCAUCAAUUUUGCCCCUCGGAUAAUGGCAAGGGAAAGGUGACACCUUUACGGGUGUGUUAUAGUCUCCUGUCGCAUGCGAGGGUCGGGAUUGAGGAACUCAGCACGCGCCUCGGUGUCGGGGCCGCUUGGCUCACGCUACGUGCUUAGGAUGCUGGCGUAAUGGCUUUAAACGACCCGUCUUGAAACACGGACCAAGGAGUCUAACAUGCACGCGAGUGUUUGGGUGGAAAACCCAUGCGCGUAAUUAAAGUGAAAGUUGGGAUCUCUGUCGCGGAGAGCACCGACGCCCGGACCAGACCUUCUGUGACGGAUCUGCGGUAGAGCGUGUAUGUUGGGACCCGAA
rnacentral:rRNA from 1 species